rnacentral:rRNA from 1 species
AGUAGUUUGAUCAUGGCUCAGGAUGAACGCCGGCGGUGUGCCUAAUACAUGCAAGUCGAACGCGUUGGCCCAACUGAUUGAACGUGCUUGCACGGACUUGACGUUGGUUUACCAACGAGUGGCGGACGGGUGAGUAACACGUAGGUAACCUGCCCCAAAGCGGGGGAUAACAUUUGGAAACAGAUGCUAAUACCGCAUAACAAUUUGAAUCGCAUGAUUCAAAUUUAAAAGAUGGCUUCGGCUAUCACUUUGGGAUGGACCUGCGGCGCAUUAGCUUGUUGGUAGGGUAACGGCCUACCAAGGCUGUGAUGCGUAGCCGAGUUGAGAGACUGAUCGGCCACAAUGGAACUGAGACACGGUCCAUACUCC